rnacentral:sRNA from 1 species
UGCUGAGCCAUCCCACCAGCCCCCAAUUUACCUGUCUAAAGUGUACAGGGUAUGUUUCUGACAAUAGCGUAAGGUAGUAUAACCUUUGCCCAAGUCAAGACACAGAACAUUUCGUCACCCUGAGAAGUUGCUUCACAAAUUCACCGUGACCUUCGCCCCUCCCCCAAGUCAUGGGGCAACAACCGAUCUGAUAUUCGGUCUUUAUCCUUUUGCUUUUUUUGUAAAAUAAUGAGGAACAGACAUUCUCAGUGGGAGCUACAGCCAAAUACCGGAAUAGGGAUUUUCACCGGCAAGUAGGCAAGAGCUCUGAGCAAGACAUGGCUAUGCUGUAGAACAUGUAAGGUAAGACGGAGCUUCGGAGCUGAGGUCUGGGGGUCAGCAAUCGGCCACACGACUGGCUCACCCAGGACCUCAUUUUCAUAGCUCAAAGAUUGAGGAGGUGGCAGAGAAAACAGUUCAAGCAAGGGGGCUCUUUGCAAGCUUCAUGUGGCCUUUGUCCUCACCAGAGCCACUUUGUGACUCCCUGCCCCAGACCAGUCAGUGACAGGAUCCAAUUUGCAUUCUGGAAGGAUUAUUCCACUCACUAGGAAACAGAGGCAGGGAAGAGUUGGAGGCCUGAAGUGAGACUGGUAGCCUCAGCCACGGCUGUGGUGGGCAGGAGUAGUCAGAUACAGUCGGCCUUUAGGAGGUAGGGUUCCAGGACUUAGUAGGAUGGUGGAGGAGGAGGUGACAGAAAAAGGCUUAAGAUGGUUCCCUUGUUUCUAGAUUGGAUGUUUGUUUGAACAUAAAAAUGGCGGCAUCAUUGAAGGGACACUGCAGCUGAAGCCGUCUGGCAGUGUGGAAGUGGAGACGUGGGUUCUGGAAUGCAGCUAAGGGGCAAUGUCCAGUGGACAGUUGGAUGUGCCAGUCUAGAUCUCAGAGAAGAGAUUCCAUUCUCUGUGAACUAACUUCUAGGUUCUCCUGUAGCCUGAUAGAAAACCAAAGGAUUUGUCCCAUCCAGAGGAACUUUUCUCCUUACCCGUUUUCUUCCCCCCUUUCCCCCCUCGCCUUUUCUGUAGAAAAGGAUUGAUUCUCUGUGUAGCUGUGGCUGUAGACCACGCUGGCUUCAAACUCAGGGAUCUGUCAGUCUCUGCCCUACAAGUUCUGGGAUCAAAGGUGCGCCCCACCUGGCCACCUGGCCAAGAGGAACUUCUUUCAUUAAGUAGAAUCUUCUUCCUAAAUUGUUUGUUCUAGAAAGAGCUAGUUUCAUGUUACGAACCUUUCGGAAUCCUGGGAAAGGGCUCUGGGCUUUCGAUACAUUUUGAUACAAUAUAGCGCAUCUACUAAGCACCUGUGAGAUGAGGAGGGAGCCAGGCUGGCAGCUUUCUAGUUGCUCGUUGUUCAGAAGCGCUGAUGUUCCUCACUUUGUGAUAUUGACACUGUGCUUUGUGCAUUUAUAAAAUCAAGGCUGGAGGAGGUCUCAGCACAUGGUCUACAACCAAGGAAUAGUCUACGAUCAACGACUAAUUUCCCUUUCUCUUUGAAGCAGAAAGGUAUUAAGGGAGCUGUGUCUGUGCUCUCCAGAGAGGCAGAGUAACAGAGCACACGUGAAACUAUUAGAGACUGCCUCGUCAAUGUGGAGACCAAGAAGCCCUCCAGUCUGCUGUCUGCAGGAUGAAGAACAAGGAAGACCAGGGGUGUGAACCCCAGUGUGAGCCUGAGGGCUCUCAAGUCAGGACUGAUGUUUAAAGACGGGGAGAGAGGGGUUCCCUGGCUCAAACAGAUGGUAAAACUCACCCUUUCUCCACAUCUUUUGUGCAGUUUGUUUCUUCAAUGAAUUAGAUCAUGUCCAACUACACUCCAAAGACCCUUAUUCUUCGUUCAGUCUACAAAUUUAAGUGUUAAGGACUUCCAGAGACAUUUGUAGCAAACACAGAAAAUAGUCGUUUCUCAGUCUAUCUGGGUAUUCUGCACCUUAGCCAAAGGAAACCAUGAAAAACCAUCUUGGCUUUGUUUUUAUUAUAAAAAGACUAACUGGAGAGACCUAGUCCAGGCUGUGCCUGGCUGUGGGGAAGAGAAGGACAGGGAGGCAGACGACACCCUGUCUUGGUUAAGAGAGCCACAUGGAGGGAAAAGCCAAAUCAUCACUCUCCAGGGCCAAGGAAGCCAGAGGUUUCUUUUAGAAAUUCCAUCCGAAAGAAGCUAGAUGUGGAAUUCUGCAGGCCACAUCAUACUUCUCAGGGAUCCUCACGUAAAAUUUAACAGCCUAUUUCUUUGUCAUUCCCACAGAUGUUGGUGAGAGGGAUAUCUCUGUCACUAUAACAAAACGCACAAGACAAUCAACUUACAAAGAGGAAAGGUUUUCCACCUCAUCGUCUUAAAGGUUCCACUCCAUAACCAGGAAGACGAAUUUCUGGCAAGGUUGCAGGAGGCAAAGCCUGCUCUUAAGUGUGUAUGAGCAAUCACACCGUGGCCAGAAGCAAAGGAGAAGAGAGUGGGCACCACAUAGAGCAUGUGUGCCUCUUCUGGGGGGCACACAUCCAGUGAUCUAGGACUUCUCUGCUACAUCCCACCUCACCCCACAAUAGCCUUGCCUGACGAGCAUGCCUUCAACACAUGGGUCUGUGGUGGUACAUCAAAUCCAAAGUGUAGCAAGGGCCAGGUAGACUCACAACAUACAGGCCAUGUUCUCUUUGCCACAUGGUGAAGUGAAUCACAGAACAUCUUUUGAAUAGGAACUUUCACCUUCUAUUUUAUCAGCAGGAAUCUGGGCAGCCAGGAUUCAUCCAGUUGUUGGGCAGCCCACCAAAGUCUCAUCUUAAUGACCUGUGUUUAAGACAAACCUCUCAGAAUGAGGCCGUGGCUCACAAGCCUUUGCCUUGCAGGAUUGGGACCCUGAGUCCCAUCCCCAUUCUACCCUGCACAGCCCUAACAGUCAUAACCCAAUGAAAACCUCUGUCUCCCACACCCUCCAUGACUAACGACACGGGACACUCAACUAUAAAAAGCAUCAAGUGCAGACAGUCAUUUUGACUCUCUAGAACACUAAGCUAAUUAAUGCACCCUUGACUCUUCCUCCGUUCCCGUUAGGCUGACACUCGGGGCCAGCCCUCCUGUUUACUAGUUCUCUGAGAGGAAAUUUUUAGGAAAACGUUGCUUUUAGUACAACCUCGGUCACAUUCUUCUCACGUUGGUUGCUGCAUAGUCUGAAGGGGUUACGUCAAGGGGAAUUUGACACCCACCCUUCUCAUUUGCUCUUUGAUUUGCACACUCAUCAAAAGACUCGGGCCAUUUGAUACCUCACAAGAUGAUUCCUCCUAUAGCAGACACUGAGGGAAGGGGGAGUCACCUGGCCCCAGCAUCUGCUAACUGUGUUCUGUUCCUAUUUCAACUGUUGACUCGAUAAAUGCCCUUGGGCAAGUCACUGAACCCCUCCAUGUUUAGUCUCUGGGGAAUGAAAUCUGCCAACUGUAUUUUGUGGGUUUGAACCUCGCUGCCCUCUGGGAUAAAAAUAGGAGAGGACCAGGUGUCAGCUGGUCCCAAACUGAUGUAAGGACAGCGGCCAUGGGAUCUCAAAGAUGUCCUUGAGCUAUAAAUUCUAUAAUAGGAACCCAAACACGGGGGCCUCCGGCAUUUGGUUUGUGUGAUGAAUCCCCGCCCUUGAAACUUUUCCAGCCUGGCAAAAACUGGCAUUAACCUUCCACUCUUGAAUCUCUUGAAUCCUCUGCCUCGCCCUGCCCCCACUUCUCAGUAUUUCUCCCGCCAAGGUACUCAACCCUGAUCGCUGUUGCUUUUCACAAAGCUCUUGGACUGCAAACUUCCUGAGGGAGGAGAACACACCAGCCUGAGGCUUCAUUUUCAAGGACACACCAGGCAAGCGGGCACCCUACGUGAACGUUUGGCCAGACGGACGAGUGAAUGAACGCUGCCCAGGCCCCAGAGAACAUUCCACUCCCCCGCCUGAUGAUCAUCUAUUCGUGGCCAUGAUAAGAUGUGGAACAACAGUUUCAAGAGCAGAUGUCAACACCAGAACCAGAAUCAUCCAGAUUCAUGACCGAAUAUUCUCUGACCGAAAACAAUUUAGGAGAAAAGAGAUUUACAUGGCUUACACUUCGAGUUCACGUCCACCAUUGAGAGAAGUCGGGCAGAGACUAAAGCAGGAACCUGAACCAAAGACCGCAGAGGAAUGCUGCUUCCGGUUUGCCCCUGCCUUGCUGCUUGCGGCACCCCUGCAUUGCUAUGCUUACGGCUCGCCCCUGCAUUGCUCCCUAGCUCAUAUUAAGCUAGCUUUCUUGUAGAGCCCAGGCCCACCUGCCUAGGGAUGGUGCGGUGCAUGAUGGGCUGGACCAUCCUCGGCUCUGUGGUCCUCCCUGUGCGUUUUGGCCCAUGCGUGCUUAUUUCAGGAUAUUUGAUCGCAUCGUGAACGCCAAGAUUCUGAGCUGGGAAAACCGUGUUGUGGUGUGCACACCCCUAACGCUUCGACAGCUAAAUAAAGUCAACUGUGGGUCAAGAGGCGGAGCAAGCAACCAGCUGGCAGGGAGUGGACGCAAAUAAACAGAACGGAGGGUCUUUGAACCAAAGGGCGUUUAAGACAGCAUGGAGAAGGAGAAAACACCUUUUCCUUCUGGGAUAUCGGUGGAGUAGGAAGGUCAGCUUGGUGUUUGUCGGCCCCUCUCAGCAUCUGGCUUCUGAGUCUGAUUUAGUAGAUCGAACAUUUGAGAUUUUUGUUUAAAAAAACAACGCAUGUUUUCUACAAUUAGUUAUAAGCAAUGUGCUUGCCUGAGUUCCAAGAACCACGUUGGCAGAUUAACUAAACCUGUGAAGGGGCUCAUGGCUGGCUGAUGAGUCUGCUUGUAGUGGGCAUCUGAAAUGGAGGGAAUCUUGUAGGGCCGAGCACUCUGCCAUCUGUGGGAGCUGAUGGUACUAUCAAGUGGUCAGUGCCGUGGCUGAGCUGAAGUAGAGACUGCCUAGCUGGAGCGUUCCUGGUAUGUGGGGAGACAACCUCCACACAGCUGGUGUUUUGUAGGAGUGUGGAGGAGAAAAGCAAAUUUUGUUAUCGUGAGACCUGUGUGAGAAGAAGAGCACAAAUUGUAAACGCUAAACUGCGUACAGAGCUUUGG